UUCUUAAAGAUAUUUUUUUAAGUAAAACCUGCUCAAAGCUCAAGUAAAUAGCCGCAGUAAAUCUGUGCCAAGGUAGCAUAAUAAUUUGCUCUCUAAAUAAGAGAUAGAAUGAAUGGUUAAACGGCUAAUAUAUGUAUCCGCAAAAAAAACCAAAUUAAUUAAAAUGUAAAAAUUCAUUUAUACAAAGGUGGGACGACAAGACCCUGAUAAACUUACAAUUUAGUUGGGGAGACAUAAAAAAUACACCUUACUGAAUCACAAAAACACACCUAAUAAAUUAUUUUAGAAUAGUUACUACAGGGAUAACAGCGCUAUUUCUCUUAAGAGCUCACAUCUAAAGAGAAGAUUACGACCUCGAUGUUGAAUUAAUUAAUCUUUGAUGGGGCAAAACCUUCAAAAGACAGUCUGUUCGACUAAUAAAAAAUU
rnacentral:rRNA from 1 species